rnacentral:rRNA from 1 species
CCUACGGGAGGCAGCAGUGGGGAAUAUUGCGCAAUGGGCGAAAGCCUGACGCAGCGACGCCGCGUGAGGGAUGAAGGUCUUCGGAUCGUAAACCUCUGUCAGCAGGGAAGAACGGUCACUGUGCUAAUCAGCAGUGAAUUGACGGUACCUGCAAGGGAGGCACCGGCUAACUCCGUGCCAGCAGCGCCGGUAAUACGUAGGGGGCGAGCGUUAAUCGGAUUUACUGGGCGUAAAGCGCUCGUAGGCGGUAUGUCAAGUCAAGGGUGAAAUCCCUGGGCUCAACGUGGGAACUUCCUUUGAAACUGGCAAACUGGAGUGCUGGAGAGGCUAGCGGAAUUCCAGGUGUAGGAGUGAAAUCCGUAGAUAUCUGGAGGAACACCAGUGGCGAAGGCGACUAUCUGGCACAUAACUGACGCUGAGGAGCGAAAGCGUGGGUAGCAAACAGGAUUAGAUACCCGUGUAGUC